rnacentral:rRNA from 1 species
GAUGAACGCUAGCGGGAGGCCUAACACAUGCAAGCCGAGCGGUAUUGUUUCUUCGGAAAUGAGAGAGCGGCGUACGGGUGCGUAACACGUGUGCAACCUGCCUUUAUCUGGGGGAUAGCCUUUCGAAAGGAAGAUUAAUACUCCAUAAUAUAUUGAACGGCAUCGUUUAAUAUUGAAAGCUCCGGCGGAUAGAGAUGGGCACGCGCAAGAUUAGCUAGUUGGUGAGGUAACGGCUCACCAAGGCGAUGAUCUUUAGGGGGCCUGAGAGGGUGAUCCCCCACACUGGUACUGAGACACGGACCAGACUCCUACGGGAGGCAGCAGUGAGGAAUAUUGGUCAAUGGGUGCAAGCCUGAACCAGCCAUCCCGCGUGAAGGACGACUGCCCUAUGGGUUGUAAACUUCUUUUGUAUAGGGAUAAACCUACCCUCGAGAGGGUAGCUGAAGGUACUAUACGAAUAAGCACCGGCUAACUCCG